UACGGAGGAUGCGGGCGUUAUCCGGAUUUAUUGGGUUUAAAGGGUGCGUAGGCGGACGCUUAAGUCAGCGGUAAAAUUGCGGGGCUCAACCUCGUCGAGCCGUUGAAACUGGGUGCCUUGAGUGGGCGAGAAGUACGCGGAAUGCGUGGUGUAGCGGUGAAAUGCAUAGAUAUCACGCAGAACUCCGAUUGCGAGGGCAGCGUACCGGCGCCCAACUGACGCUGAAGCACGAAGGCGUGGGUAUCGAACAGG
rnacentral:rRNA from 1 species